rnacentral:lncRNA from 1 species
UCCUCCAAGUGAGGUCCUCCAAGAUGUCUCUGUGAGGUCCUCCAAGUGAGGUCCUCCAAGAUGUCUCUGUGAGGUCCUCCAAGUGAGGUCCUCCAAGAGUCCCUACGAGGUCCUCCAAGUGAGGUCCUCCAAGAUGGGCUCCCAUUUCAGCUCCCAUGUGGGGGUCCCCUCUCCCCCCCAUUUCAGCUCCAUUUUGUUCUCCGCCAUUUUGGGCUCCCAUUGGCGGGUCCCCCCCAAUCCAGACCCCCCCAUUAUUUUUAAGGGGGGGGGGAAUCCCCCCUUCCACCCCUCCAUUUCAGCUCCCAUUUUGGGGUCCCAUUUUGUGCUCCCCUUUCAGGACCUUUCGGGUUCCAUUUUGUUCUCCGCCAUUUUGUUCUCCGCCAUUUUGAGCUCCGCCAUUUUGUGCUCCGCCAUUUUGAGCUCCGCCAUUUUGGGCUCCCAUUGGCGGGUCCCCCCCAAUCCAGACCCCCCCAUUAUUUUUCGGGGGGGGGAAUCUCCCCUCCA